UACGGAGGGUGCAAGCGUUAUCCGGAUUCACUGGGUUUAAAGGGUGCGUAGGCGGGUAAGUAAGUCCGUGGUGAAAUCUCUGAGCUUAACUCAGAAACUGCCGUGGAUACUAUUUGCCUUGAAUAUUGUGGAGGUGAGCGGAAUAUGUCAUGUAGCGGUGGAAUGCUUAGAUAUGACAUAGAACACCAAUUGCGAAGGCAGCUCACUACACAAUCAUUGACGCUGAGGCACGAAAGCGUGGGGAUCAAACAGGAUUAGAACCGUACCGUAGUCAAGAUC
rnacentral:rRNA from 1 species